rnacentral:snRNA from 1 species
AUACUUACCUAGCGGCAGAGUCCACCGCUCAUCUAGGGUGGAUUCUCCUGGUGUCCCACCUUCAUGGCACAACGGAGGUGGGCACCGUGUCAGCUGUCUUUGGGCACCUGGGCUGCUCAAUUUUUGAUUUAC